GUGGAUUAGAUACCCUGGUAGUCCACGCCGUAAACGAUGCUAACUCGUUUUUGGGUUUUCGGAUUCAGAGACUAAGCGAAAGUGAUAAGUUAGCCACCUGGGGAGUACGAACGCAAGUUUGAAACUCAAAGGAAUUGACGGGGGCCCGCACAAGCGGUGGAUUAUGUGGUUUAAUUCGAUGAUACGCGAGGAACCUUACCAAGGCUUAAAUGGGAAAUGACAGGCUUAGAAAUAGGCUUUUCUUCGGACAUUUUUCAAGGUGCUGCACGGCUGUCGCCAACU
rnacentral:rRNA from 1 species